UUUUUUAUCUUUUUACUUUUAUUUUUUAUGGUUGUAUUGAGAAGAGUGUUUUUAAAUUUACGCAAUAAAUACAAUUAUUUUUAUAUUUAAUAACAACAAUCAGAUGAUAUAAAAAUUUAAUAUUUUACUAAAUUUAGAUUAAUUAAGAUAAUUACAAUAUUAUAUGACCUACUUAGGUAAAAAGUUCUUUAGUCAAAUUUAAAUAUAGUGUCACGACCCGUUUCCAUGGGCCGAACCGGCACUAGAGCCCAGGUAAGCUUAAGGCCCCCGAGGCCCGUAGUAAGCCUAAAUUAUCCAAUAUGUCUACCUAUCUUUUCCAAUUUCAUCAAAACAGUAAACCCAUAUACAAACAUCUAGCCCAAACUCAAAUAACACAUAAUGUAUAACCACGGCCUGUUCACAAUAAAUUAUAAUCACAUUAUGGGCUUACUGGUUCACCUGCAGCUAAUUACAUAAUAUUUAAUUUAUAGUGUAGUGCUAACAAUAAGUCCAAUAUUAAUACACAACCCUAUAAAUGCGGAGUCCAAAAAUAAUCUGAUAACAGAAUAAUUUAUACAUCCAAAAUUAAAUAACAUGAAUAUAAAGUUUACAUUUGUAACUCUGCGGAGAAGAUUGCAGAGCUUUAGUCGAAUCAGCUGCUUCCUAGUACCUGGGAGGUUUGUUGGGGGGGUGAGUUUUGCAACUCAGUGAAUAAUAAUAAAUAAUACACACCACAUACAGUCAAGCAAAAUGCACCCUAGUAUACUGAAUGAACACACAACAGUCAAUCAUAUGACAUUACAUCAGCACCCACAAACAAUAUCACCUUCAAAUAAUCACAUCACGUGGAAAUUAGUCAGUGGAGUCACCGAANNNNN
rnacentral:lncRNA from 1 species